CGCGGCCUAUCAGCUUGUUGGUGAGGUAACGGCUCACCAAGGCUUCGACGGGUAGCUGGUCUGAGAGGACGAUCAGCCACACUGGGACUGAGACACGGCCCAGACUCCUACGGGAGGCAGCAGCAGGGAAUAUUGCGCAAUGGGCGAAAGCCUGACGCAGCAACGCCGCGUGGGGGAUGAAGGCUCUCGGGUUGUAAACCCCUUUCAGUGGGAACGAAAAUGACGGUACCCACAGAAGAAGCCCCGGCCAACUACGUGCCAGCAGCCGCGGUAACACGUAGGGGGCAAGCGUUGUCCGGAUUUAUUGGGCGUAAAGAGCUCGUAGGCGGUUCGGUAAGUCGGGUGUGAAAACUCCAAGCUCAACUUGGAGACGCCACCCGAUACUGCUGUGACUAGAGUCCGGUAGGGGAGCGUGGAAUUCCUGGUGUAGCGGUGAAAUGCGCAGAUAUCAGGAGGAACACCAGCGACGAAGGCGGCGCUCUGGGCCGGAACUGACGCUGAGGAGCGAAAGCGUGGGUAGCAAACAGGAUUAGAUACCCUGGUAGUCCACGCCGUAAACGUUGGGCACUAGGUGUGGGGUCUUAUCAACGGAUUCCGUGCCGUAGCUAACGCAUUAAGUGCCCCGCCUGGGGAGUACGG
rnacentral:rRNA from 1 species